rnacentral:misc_RNA from 1 species
GAGAUGGCGCUAUGUUUUUAAUAAAUAACUUGUUUUCUAUUAUUUUCUGCACGUGGAUUUACAUAUUGUAAUUUAUUUUAUACUUUAUUGUAAUUACUUUAUAUUUUAUUGUAAAAACGUGAUGUAAAAUGGUUGUAAUAGGAAAGAAAAAGUAUCAGUCUGGGGAAGGAGCACAGUUUAUGACAAGAAAAGCUGCUCUAAAAAAAUUGCAGCUCACUUUAACUGAUUUUCGUAAAUUAUGUAUAUUGAAAGGAAUAUAUCCAAGAGAACCACGUAAUCGUAAACGGGCGCAAAAAGGAGAUCCUAGUAUCAAAAUAUUAUAUCAUAAAAAAGAUAUUCAAUUUUUGAUGCAUGAACCAAUAAUAUGGAAACUAAGAGAAUUUAAGAUAUUUAAUAAAAAAGUUGGAAGAGCAAGAGCUUUGAAAGAAUUUUCAGAUAUGAAAAGAUAUUUAGAUAAUCAUCCUACUUUAAAACUAGAUCACAUUGUUAAAGAACGUUAUCCAACAUUCAUUGAUGCACUUAGGGAUCUAGAUGAUUGUUUGACUUUAUGUUUCUUAUUUAGUACAUUUCCAUCCCUUAAUCAUAUACCAAGAGAUCAGUCGUUGUUAUGUAGAAGAUUGACAGUUGAAUUCUUACAUGCUAUAAUUGCUGCUAAAGCUUUACGUAAAGUAUUUGUAUCUAUUAAAGGAUAUUAUUAUCAAGCAGAAAUUAAAGGACAAAUAAUAACUUGGAUUGUACCUCAUCACUUCAGUUUUGAGCCUCAAGCAAAAAAUGAUGUAGACUUUAAAAUUAUGUCUAUAUUUGUAGAAUUCUAUAUAGUGAUGUUAGGUUUUGUUAAUUAUAGGCUUUAUCACAGUCUUAAUUUAUAUUAUCCUCCAAAACUUACUACUAAUGAUAAUAGUGAAAAAAUACUUGUUGAUGAAGAGGUAUAUGUAUCAGAAAGAAUAGCAGCAUUAAAUGUACCUUUAGUAAAUCUGGAUCCUACAUUACAAAAUAUAGAAGAUGAAGAAUUGGAGAUAGAUAAAUUUGCAAAUGAAGGUGAUGCUACAAAUAUGGAAGAGAUUAGAAUAGAAGCAGAAAAAGUUAAAAAAUUAAAAACACUUUUUAAAGGUUUAAAAUUUUUCUUGAAUAGAGAAGUACCAAGAGAACCUUUAGUUUUUAUUUUACGUUGUUUUGGAGCUGAAGUAUCUUGGGAUAAAUUACUCUUUGUUGGUGCAACAUUUGAUGAAAAUGAUGAAACAAUAACACAUCAUAUAGUGGACAGACCUAAUAUGACUAAACAAUAUAUUUCUAGAUAUUAUGUACAGCCACAGUGGAUUUUUGAUUCGGUAAAUGCUAAAGAAUUGUUACCUGUAGAAAAAUAUUUAAUAGGUUGUAUACUUCCACCACAUCUUUCACCAUUUUCAAAUAGUCAGCAUGAUCAGACGUAUAUUCCACCAGAGGAGCGUGCUCUUAUGGAUCCUGAAUUUAAACUUAAUAAUGAAGAAGAUGAAUCUGAAGAAGAAGUAGAAGAAAAUAAAAAAGAAAAUAAUGAAAAUGAAGUGCAGAAAAAAAAUUUAACAAAAAAUUCAGAGGAGAAACUUGAAGCGAAAGAAUCUUCGGAUGAUUUGGAAACGACAAUCGAUGAGAAAGAACAGCAACGAAAUCGAUUAAAAAAUAAAAUGAAAGUUAAAACUGGAGAAGUAAUAAAGGAAGAUCCAUGGGAGAAGAAACGACAGGAAAGACAAGAGUAUCGAUUAAGAGAACGUAUGAUUAAAAAGAAACAUCGAAAUUUGUACAGGAGUAUGAUGGAAGGUCGUAAGGAAAGAGCCAAAGAAAUAUGGCUUCUUCGUAAGAAGAGGCGGCUACAUGAUACCGCUGAGAAGCAAAAACGCAAAGAAGAACGCAAACAGAAAAAAGUUAAAGUUACUGAAUAAGAAUAAAUAAAAAAAAAAGCAACUAAUACAAAUUUAAUAUUAAUUACUUUUAUUCCACAUACAUCAUUUUUGUAAAUGAAUUAUAUUAAGAAUUAUAUCCAAUCUCACUUUUCACAUUAAUCUUCUUAUCUUUUAUAUAUUAGUAUCGAAUAUAAAGUCAUGAAGAUUUGACAGCAGAAUAUAAUAACUUUCUCAAUAAUCAUAAGUACAGUUACGCGAAUAGAGAGAUGCCUUUUUAUCCAGUCCUCCCACUUACCGGAAGCCCACGCAUGCGAUGAUUCUGGUUUCUACUUUUCCCCCGAAGGACUUUGAAGGCCAGACUACCUACAUAUAUUAACCUACGCAAUCACGAAUUAUCAUUGAAGGACAAAUUCAUUUAGUGAUGGAUAAAUUACCGUCGAUACAUCCGGUACUUGCGUAUAUUAUGUUAGCAAGUUACCUUGAAUCGAUCAUUGAAAUCGGAUUCGAAAAUAAAAUAUCCAUGGUCAAGCUA